rnacentral:rRNA from 1 species
CAGUCGCCGCGGGAAUACGAAGGGUGCAAGCGUUAAUCGGAAUUACUGGGCGUAAAGGGCGCGUAGGCGGAUCGGAAUGUCAGGCGUGAAAUUCCUGGGCUCAACCUGGGGACUGCGCUUGAGACGUUUGGUCUAGAGUUUGGAAGAGGGUCGUGGAAUUCCCAGUGUAGAGGUGAAAUUCGUAGAUAUUGGGAAGAACACCGGUGGCGAAGGCGGCGACCUGGUCCUUGACUGACGCUGAGGCGCGAAAGCGUGGGGAGCAAACAGGAUUAGAUACCCGCGUAGUCCCUGUCUCUUAUAC